UACGGGAGGCAGCAGUGGGGAAUAUUGCACAAUGGGCGAAAGCCUGAUGCAGCUAUGCCGCGUGUAUGAAGAAGGCCUUAGGGUUGUAAAGUACUUUCAUCGGGGAGGAAAAAACAAAACUAAUAAUUUUAUUUCUUGACGUUACCCGAAAAAGAAGCACCGGCUAACUCCGUGCCAGCAGCCGCGGUAAUACGGAGGGUGCUAGCGUUAAUCAGAAUUAUUGGGCGUAAAGAGCACGUAGGUGGUUUUUUUAAGUCAGAUGUGAAAUCCCUGGGCUUAACCUGGAACUGCAUUUUGAAACUGAAAUACUAGAGUAUCGUAGAGGGAGGUAGAAUUCUAGGUGUAGCGGUGAAAUGCGUAGAUAUCUGGAGGAAUACCUGUGGCGAAAGCGGCCUCCUAAACGAAUACUGACACUGAGGUGCGAAAGCGUUGGGGAGCAAACAGGGAUUAGAUACC
rnacentral:rRNA from 1 species